rnacentral:lncRNA from 1 species
CUUCAUCUCAAGAGCUACCAAAAGUCUUCCUAUUAGGGAAAGAAGAAGACUAGAUCUUUAUUGAGAAGCGGUAGGAUGUGGAGUUACAGGGCUUCUCACAGAGGUCAGCCUUAAGAUUAUCCAGUUGGGAAGGGGAGACACAUGACCUGAUUUGUCUUAUUUAGGGGAGGUAGAUUGAGGGGAGGAGAAUUUAAGUCAGGGAAAUAUGAGAAGCAGCUGGGAUAUGGCCCAGGCAAGAGAUGAUGAGGGUCUGAACUUAUCCAAUGGGAUGGGGAUUUGUUCAUCUAUGUAGUAAGUAUCUGCUCAAUAUUUACUAUGUACUGACCCUGUCACUGGAGAUCAAUAGCAAACAAGACAACGUUCCUAACUUCAAAAAGCUUAUAAUCUAGUGGAGGGAGACACAGUAAAUAAAUAAACAAAUACAGGUAGCAGUAAGUACUUUGGAAGAAAACCAAACAAGGUAAAGAUGGUAGGGACUGCUGUUUUAGGUAAUGGUGGAGGAAAUUCUUGAAGAGGUGCCAAAGACUGGAUAGCAGUAAGGGGGCCAGCAGUGUGACUUUCUAGGAGAGCAUUCCAGGCAGAAAGAACAGUAAGUGCAAAGGCACUGAAGUAGAAACAUGUUUGGCCUUCUAAAGGGACAGCAAGGAGGUCAAUGUGGCUGGAAUACAGUUAAGCAAGGUGAGAAAUAGAAGGAAAUGAGGGGAGGAAUUUAGAGAAGUAGCAAGGUCCCAAGCAAUGUUGGGCUUAGAGGCACCUUGGUAAGGACUUUGGAUUUUAUUCUAAAUUCCGUUGAAGCUGUUGGAGGGCUUUGAGCAGGGGAGGUGACAAGGUCUGACUAAUGGUUUAAAAGGAUCCCCUUGGCUGCUGUUUGAACAGGCUAUAAGAAAGGCAGGGGGCCAGGCGCGGUGGCUCACGCCUGUAAUCCUAGCACUUUGGGAGGCUGAGGUGGGCAGAUCACCUGAGGUCAGGAGUUCGAGACCAGCCUGACCAACAUGGAUAAACCCCCACCUCUACAAAAAAAAAAAAUAGAAAAUUAGCCGGGUGUGGUGGCGCAAGCCUGUUAUCCCAGCUACUGGGGAGGCUGAGGCAGGAGAAUCGCUUGAACCUGGGAGGCAGAGGUUGAGGUGAGCCAAAAUCGUGCCAUUGCACUCCAGCCUGG